rnacentral:rRNA from 1 species
AUUGAACGCUGGCGGCACGCCUUACACAUGCAAGUCGAACGGCAGCAUAGAGAGCUUGCUCUCUGAUGGCGAGUGGCGAACGGGUGAGUAAAGCAUCGGAACGUACCGUGUAGUGGGGGAUAACGUAGCGAAAGUUACGCUAAUACCGCAUACGCACUGAGGUGGAAAGCCGGGGACCGCAAGACCUUGCGCUAGACGAGCGGCCGAUGUCAGACUAGCUAGUUGGUGGGGUAAAGGCCUACCAAGGCGACGAGCUGUAGCGGGUCUGAGAGGAUGAUCCGCCACACUGGGACUGAGACACGGCCCAGACUCCUACGGGAGGCAGCAGUGGGGAAUUUUGGACAAUGGGGGCAACCCUGAUCCAGCCAUGCCGCGUGAGUGAAGAAGGCCUUCGGGUUGUAAAGCUCUUUCGGCCGGGAAGAAAUCGCACAGGCUAAUACUCUGUGUGGAUGACGGUACCGGCAUAAGAAGCACCGGCUAACUACGUGCCAGCCGCCGCCGUAA